ensembl:snRNA U6 U6 spliceosomal RNA
GUGCUUUGCAGCACAUGUAUUAAAAUUGAAAUGAUACAGAGAAUUCUAGAGUAACCUCUGUGUUAGGAUAAACAUGAAAUUUAAAAAGGGGUCGAUAUUUUU